rnacentral:rRNA from 1 species
GAUGAACGCUGGCGGCGUGCCUAAUACAUGCAAGUCGAGCGAACAGACGAGGAGCUUGCUCCUCUGACGUUAGCGGCGGACGGGUGAGUAACACGUGGAUAACCUACCUAUAAGACUGUGAUAACUUCGGGAAACCGGAGCUAAUACCGGAUAAUAUAUUGAACCGCAUGGUUCAAUAGUGAAAGACGGUUUUGCUGUCACUUAUAGAUGGAUCCGCGCCGCAUUAGCUAGUUGGUAAGGUAACGGCUUACCAAGGCGACGAUGCGUAGCCGACCUGAGAGGGUGAUCGGCCACACUGGAACUGAGACACGGUCCAGACUCCUACGGGAGGCAGCAGUAGGGAAUCUUCCGCAAUGGGCGAAAGCCUGACGGAGCAACGCCGCGUGAGUGAUGAAGGUCUUCGGAUCGUAAAACUCUGUUAUUAGGGAAGAACAAAUGUGUAAGUAACUAUGCACGUAUUGACGGUACCUAAUCAGAAAGCCACGGCUAACUACGUG